rnacentral:rRNA from 1 species
GACGAACGCUGGCGGCGUGCCUAAUACAUGCAAGUCGAGCGAGCGGAACUAACAGAUUUACUUCGGUAAUGACGUUAGGAAAGCGAGCGGCGGAUGGGUGAGUAACACGUGGGGAACCUGCCCCAUAGUCUGGGAUACCACUUGGAAACAGGUGCUAAUACCGGAUAAGAAAGCAGAUCGCAUGAUCAGCUUUUAAAAGGCGGCGUAAGCUGUCGCUAUGGGAUGGCCCCGCGGUGCAUUAGCUAGUUGGUAAGGUAAAGGCUUACCAAGGCGAUGAUGCAUAGCCGAGUUGAGAGACUGAUCGGCCACAUUGGGACUGAGACACGGCCCAAACUCCUACGGGAGGCAGCAGUAGGGAAUCUUCCACAAUGGACGCAAGUCUGAUGGAGCAACGCCGCGUGAGUGAAGAAGGUUUUCGGAUCGUAAAGCUCUGUUGUUGGUGAAGAAGGAUAGAGGUAGUAACUGGCCUUUAUUUGACGGUAAUCAACCAGAAAGUCACGGCUAACUACGUGCCAGCAGCCGCGGUAAUACGUAGGUGGCAAGCGUUGUCCGGAUUUAUUGGGCGUAAUGCGAGCGCAGGCGGAAGAAUAAGUCUGAUGUGAAAGCCCUCGGCUUAACCGAGGAACUGCAUCGGAAACUGUUUUUCUUGAGUGCAGAAGAGGAGAGUGGAACUCCAUGUGUAGCGGUGGAAUGCGUAGAUAUAUGGAAGAACACCAGUGGCGAAGGCGGCUCUCUGGUCUGCAACUGACGCUGAGGCUCGAAAGCAUGGGUAGCGAACAGAAUUAGAUACCCUGGUAGUCCAUGCCGUAAACGAUGAGUGCUAAGUGCUGGGAGGUUUCCGCCUCUCAGUGCUGCAGCUAACGCAUUAAGCACUCCGCCUGGGGAGUACGACCGCAAGGUUGAAACUCAAAGGAAUUGACGGGGGCCCGCACAAGCGGUGGAGCAUGUGGUUUAAUUCGAAGCAACGCGAAGAACCUUACCAGGUCUUGACAUCUAGUGCCAUUUGUAGAGAUACAAAGUUCCCUUCGGGGACGCUAAGACAGGUGGUGCAUGGCUGUCGUCAGCUCGUGUCGUGAGAUGUUGGGUUAAGUCCCGCAACGAGCGCAACCCUUGUUAUUAGUUGCCAGCAUUAAGUUGGGCACUCUAAUGAGACUGCCGGUGACAAACCGGAGGAAGGUGGGGAUGACGUCAAGUCAUCAUGCCCCUUAUGACCUGGGCUACACACGUGCUACAAUGGGCAGUACAACGAGAAGCGAGCCUGCGAAGGCAAGCGAAUCUCUGAAAGCUGUUUUCAGUUCGGACUGCAGUCUGCAACUCGACUGCACGAAGCUGGAAUCGCUAGUAAUCGCGGAUCAGCACGCCGCGGUGAAUACGUUCCCGGGCCU